UUCUUACGGCUAACGAUUAGAAGAUUUGUAUUGAUUAUGUCAUCCGAACAAGAGUUUUAUUCUAUAAUAUAUGGUAAAUAGAAUGCAGUUGCAGUAACAAAGAAUAAUCAAGACAAGAAUGUGUCACAAGGAAAGGUAAAUAAUUUGACUGGAAGUGUCUACUCAUUAUUAUCAAGAUUGAUAAGAAGAAUCCAACAAUACUGCAAAUAUGAAAGAUUUUUGAUUGCACUGUUCUUAUUAUACUUGCACUGGGAGAAAAUCAUAUGCAGUAGUAUUCUGUCAAAAGAAUACUAGAGGAAAUAUAUCCUAGUUAUCACGAAAUCUCCAUGUGAAUUAUUAUGCGAAAAGAAUGCAGCUGCUCUGACUACAAAUAAUCUAGACAAUAAUAUGUUUAAAGGUUGCAUUAAAUUUUCAAUAAGUUAAUAAAAAUAUGUAGGGAAAUCUGUAUUUUAUUACCGACUGGUAACAUAUGUUUCGCCAUCUAUCGGUACUAGAUAUUACUUCACUGUACCGACUAGUAAAUUUAGGCUGCCAUCUAGCGGAAGUGAAUGUUACUAUGUUUUAUCGACUAGUAGAAUAUGUUUCGCCAUCUAGACAAAAGACAACACAUUGGUAGGACAAAAUCAAGAUGGCUACCUGUCAAUGUACUUUGAAUACCGCAAAGCAGUCCACGUGCAGUAUAAAUAAUCGGCAAUUCAGCUUAAGAAGAAAAAAAUUGCACUUGAUGGUUGGACAGCUUAAGAAGAAAACCAUUGCACUUGAUGUUUAAACAGCUUAAGAAGAAAACCAUUGCACUUGUGGUUGUGAUCAAAAAAGAAAACCAUUGUAUUUAUUAUUAUGUAAACUCAAAAAGAAUACCAUUGCACUCUAGAGGUUAUGUCGACUUAAAAAGAAUACCAUUGCACUCUAGAGGUUAUGUCGAUUUAAAAAGUAAACCAUUGCACUUGAGGUUACUUCAGAUUAACACGUUCCGUAGCAAGUUUUUUUUCCUGUCCUAUCAUCCAAGCCAUUUAAUUUUGCAUUAACAAAAACAACCAUUACAUGUAAUUAUUAAUUAUUUUUAAUGUGAUAAUUAAACAAACUUAUGUGUUUUGUCGUAUAAGGCAUUUUGUACAAUGCAUGAACAUUUUAAUAGAAAUAUUUUAGUAGAGAAUUGAAUUUAUUAUAAAAAUAUAUUUUAGCACAUUAAAUAAUUCUGUGAAAUUGUAAGUGUAACAUUGUUGGUACACGUGGUCUUAAGAAAAAGAUUAACGUGUACCAUCUGUGAUCCGCAUUAAAUGGAACGUGUUAAAGAGAAUACCAUUGCAUUUGAAGUUAUGUAAACUGAAAUAGAAAAUUAUUGCACUAGUGGUUAUUUGAUAUUAAGACGAACACCAUUGCAGUUGUGGUUAUGUCUUUUUUAAAAGAAAACCAUUGCACUUGAAAGAUAAAUAUGCAGAUCAAUAUUUUUAAUUCCAAUCCAAGAACGUUAUACUCAAAAGAAGAGGA